rnacentral:rRNA from 1 species
GUAGGGGCCAAGCGUUAUCCGGAUUUAUUGGGGCGUAAAGAGCUCGUAGGCGGCUUGGCAAGUCGGUCGUGAAAGUCCGAGGCUCAACCUCGGGAAUGCCGGGUCGAAACUGCCAUGGCUAGGGUUCGGUAGAGGAGAGUGGAAUUCUCGGUGUAGCGGUGAAAUGCGCAGAUAUCGAGAGGAACACCAGUAGCGAAGGCGGCUCUCUGGGCCGAUACCGACGCUGAGGAGCGAAAGCGUGGGGAGCAAACAGGAUUAGAUACCCUGGUAGUCCACGCCGUAAACGGUGAUCACUAGGUGUGGCGGACUCAUUGACGUCUGCUGUGCCGGCGCUAACGCAUUAAGUGAUCCGCCUGGGGAGUACGGCCGCAAAGGCUAA